UCCACUCCUGCCUCUCCAUCUCAGUUCGAUCCAGGCCCUGAAGCCCGGAAUCACCCUGCCUCCGUUCACUCUCUCAGCCCCGUCCACUCUUACUCCGGGUUAUGCUCCCGAAACCCACCAGCCUCGAGCUACCCUGCCAGAGGCACCCUACAGCCCAGCCCCCAUCUCCCGCCUGGCACACCGAAGGACCCUCCUCCCAGGCUCCUUGCCUUGCCUCCAACAGUCCCUUCUCCCCACUGUGGUGGGCAGAACCACAUUUCCUGUCUGAUCUCCCUUCUCCAAGGGCUCCCUGCUCCAAGGGCUCCCACUCCCCUUCUCACCCUCUGUCUCCUUCCCACCAUCCCCCACACUGCUCCCACUGCAUCCCACCAGCCUUGCCCCGCCUUCCCCACCAGACCAUCUCUGCUGCCCCCAGAGGAGGGCCAGUCCCAGCAGGAAAGGCUGUCUGCCCCUCCCCGACCUCACCCUGGACGGAGGCAUAUCCACCCAUCCUUGUAAAGGACCCUCCUCCCGGGCUCCCUGCCUUGCCUCCAACAGUCCCUCCUCCCCGCUACGGCGGGAAGAACCACAUUUCCGGUCUGAUCGUCCUGCUCCAAGGGCUCCCACUCCCCUUCUCACCCUCUGUCUCCUUCCCUCCAUCCCCCACAGUGCUCCCAUUGCAUCCCACCAGCCUUGCCCCGCCUCCCCCCACCCCCAGACCAGCUGUGCUGCCCUCAGAGGAGGGCCAGUCCCAGCAGGAAGGACUGUCUGCCCCUCCCCGACCUCACCCUGGACGGAGGCAUAUCCACCCAUCCUUGUGGCGCUUCCCUUGGGUCCCAGAGCCUCCUGGGGACUGCCCAGCCCUGGCACUUCCUCAGGGCCUUUGUCUGCCCGGAGGCUCAAGAAUAGCCCUUUCUGCCUCCCGCGCCCCCCCGACCCUGGCCUGGAUGCGCUGUGUCCCUUUUCUCCCCAGACUUCUGGCCACACGGGCCUCCAUGGAGCCACCCUGGUCGCACCCUCUCAGCGCUCAGCGUCCCGCNNNNNN
rnacentral:lncRNA from 1 species